CAUAUAAAUUCUGUGAAUCCCCAUCUUUCAUAACAAAGAAGCUCCUAUAUCAUUUCAAACGAACCACUGAAAUUUUUCUUCUUGUGAAAGUGUAUUUUGAGAUAAAUAUAUCACCAUGCCUGACACCAAAUGUGCAUGUUGCCAGGAGAACAAGGAGUGUUCGUGCGUCGGCCCCUGCUGUGAAACAGGAGAAUGCUGCAAGAAUGGAACAUGCUGCGGAGAUUCUUCUAAAUGAGCGAUACUCUGCACCAAGGGCAGCUAUGAGUGCUCGAAGGACCUUUUCUGUAGGAUAGAAAGAUUGUAGAUAAAACUCGAGUAAGAUGUCUCAUCUCCCGAUGUGCGCCACUUGAUUUGAUCUGUAUAUUUUAAUAGAUGUUUGAUAUAUUUUGUUGUUGUUUUGUAACAUGUACAUUUAUAUAAUUUAUAAAAAUGUAAAUAUUAAAUAAUUUUCCAUCUAUAGGGAGUUUUAGCAAUUAAUGAAAACGCAUGUCUGUAAUAUUUACCCGUUUGGUAAUAGAACGUAUAGAACAACAUAGGCGGCGGAAGAGGGGGAGGGGGGUGACGUGUCCCCCCUUAAUUUGAGGUGGGGGAUGAUCCCCUAAAUUUCUUGUUCAAGACUUUUUUUUGCUUGUCACAAAAAUUAUGUCAGUCCCUCCUGAAAUUUUUUUUGGUAACUUUUUUUUUAUUUUUUUUGGUAUGUCAAUUUUGUUUCCUGCGUCCCCCUAAAAUUUUUGGCUUCCGCCGCCAACGUAGAACACCGAACACCUUACGACUGCUGUACAAAAAGUGAAACAAACGGCAUUUUUUUUUUUUUUUCUUUAUAAUGAUACGACCAUGUAAAUUAGUUUUCAAAAGGUUCAUGAUAACUAUCAAAAUAAAUCUAUCAAAAUUUCAAACAUUUGAAGCUAUCAGUGAGCAAAUCGUAUAUGGUUGUUGUGACGUCACUACAAUUCUUAAUUGAUUUCGAUUUAUUUUACAUGUUUUAUGUAACGAGGAGCCUGAAAUUACCAUUAUAUUUUAUUUAAGUAUUUAUUUGCUGAUUCAGGACUAAAGAAACUAGUUUUUUUUUUUAUUCAAUACUCUCUUAAAACAUUUUAUUUAAAAAUUCGGGAUUUGGGCUAAUCGUAAGGUGUCCGGUGGCCUUCAUUACAGAAUGCGCCGGAAUAUGAAAGUUCCUAACUUGUGCAAUAUCUUGACUUAUAGCUCGAUCGGUAUAAUGUUGUAAUGAUAUCAACGAUGUUGAUGAAAUAACGGUUAAAUGGAUUACUUUACAUUCAUUAAUAUAAAGCUUUUUCUGUUCAAUUCCAUCAUGUAAUGAUAAUGAAUCGUUCUUACAUUCUUUAAUGCUUUUUGUACCAAUUCAUAAAUAUAUAAAAUCGGACCAUUUUAAACGAUUCGGUAUAAUUAAAUUUUAUUUAAGGAU